AUUGUUGUGGGUCUAUUUCUGGAGUGACGAGAGAGUUCAUGUGUGCAUUUCAAUGUGACUUACCGGCUUCAAGUCACAGUGGAUUAUUUUCUCACGGUGCAACAGUCGGAGACAAUUUAUCAGGGAAUUCGCCAAUCGACGGAUCAGACUCAGACUGAAGCCCUGGUCAUCGAUCCAUCGCCAAUGUGAUAUCCUCUGAUCCGAUAUUUUCCAUCAAGUUGUAUCCAACCGAUUGCAACCGGAUUUUAGGGGAUUGCAGAAGCAGUGCCUAUUUGUGGGCACGUGCUAGUCACAUCGCGAGAUCAGACCAGACCCACAGAGUCUGAACCCAAAGCGAUUUGUCGUGGCAAUGCUGGACGAACGAGUACACUAUCGCUGACCCAGUUGUUGUCUGCCUUCAGGUGCAACGAUGUGAACCACUGAUGCGGAUCUGAGGCCUUUAUUUGGACUUUUGGGGAUUGGAAAAUAGUGAGGAUCAAUGAGAACAAUUUUGGAUGAUGAAAGUCGUCCAAUUGUUUUUAUUCAGACUCUACAAGUGAUAAAAAAAUCUGGAAAGUUUGGAGAACUGAUUUUCAGAUUGACAUUUCGAGUCUGACAUUUUGGGAGAGUUUGAAUGCGUAGAAAUAUAUAUUUGACAUUCAAGUCAUUUCUUCUUCAGAAGAAUGAACUUUCUCAUCUCAUCAGUGACAAAUUCCUCGGUUGGCUGAGAAUUUCGUUUUUACUGGACGAAUUUUAGGCAAAAAAAACAAAGUGAAUUGUAUAGUACUGAUAAGAUGAAAAUAAAUGGGGUUAACUCAGGUGGAUAGAAAGAAAUUCUGUCCCUUGGCCGACAUGUCAACCAUUUAUAGAGAAGCCGUGUGGCACGCAGCCUGAGGGGAUAAACCCACUGUAUACCUAAACUCGUUGUCGAGACGUUCCAUGUAAUGGAAUAUAAAAAAGAGAAAUGGAACGACUGGGUCCAGUUUUCCCCUCAUCCUACGUUACCGGAUGUACUGGUUUGACAUAAAAGUCGACUGAAAUUCAUCCGUACAUUGAUUGAUUCGAUCUUGAAACAAAUUAACGUUAAAAGUAAAAUGCAAAUUAAUUCACUCAACUAGUGCGGUACAAUGGAUCCUCUUCAGUCAUCAGUAACUCAUAAUUGGGUGAGUGAAUGUGAUAAACUUUUUUCAUAUGUUCAAGGUUCUUGAAAUACCUUCAAAAACCCGCAGUGGCUUGUUCAAAGACUAGAGUAGGAACAAUUUGUGUUAAUCAAUUAACUCUGUUAAUAAUAUCAAAUGGAGAAUUUUUUUUUUAAUUUUCAGUUAAAUUGAAUUAAUAAUUUAUGCGAAUUUUUCUAGGUCAUUUAUUCCAACUUUGGAAUACAAUAUUGAAUCUACUCUAGAAAAUACGUAAAUGAUUUUUUUUUAAUCAGAGAACGAUUUUGAUGAUGAAAGUAAACAAAUUUAUUUAUUUCUAAUAGUCACUUUCUUGAAAUAAAAAAAAAUCGAGUACAAAUGUUAAUUUUCCGCAUGUUCUAUUCGUUCUUCAAUUAUUAUAGAUGACGAAUAUUUCGGUCACCAUCUGUUUAUUUUUAAUGAAGAAAAAACAAAUUAACUUCCAAGGCUAGUUACGACCUAUAAUUUGGCUUCAAUUACCACAGCAACCAUUCACCGACUAACGAUAAUCCCUCACCUACCACAAAUACCAAUAAAUAUUCCAUAAAAUAAAGAAGAAGAAAGCGUCAAUGGUUUGGGAAAUCCUCAGAAAGGGAAACUCAGAUGAAUCGCGACAAAUCAAUCGUGUCAUUAGGUUCAUCCGUUCGAGCGUAAAUUGUUGUCAACGAUGAGCCUCUGGUACUAUUGAAACCGGGAUGCUAUCGACAAAAGGCCUCCAAUCAUCUUCACCUCGACUGCACUCGGCGUAUAUGCGGUAACGGUAUUGGAUUUCAAUACGCAGAAGCAUACGACAAGACAAUUCUAGCGGUUUUAUCAUCUGGACCGUGGUAAGAACAGCAUUGUUCCACCCACUGAUUGAUAUUCCACUUCAAGGUUACGCAAUAUCAGUAUUUACUUCGAUUGAAAAUUACGUUUCCAAAAUACACAAAGAGAAAAGUUCAAUAAAAAUUACCUAAAAAUUAUUGUAAUUCUGGACCAUUUGCUCCAGAAUUGCAAAAACAAAUUCAGAGAAAAAUUACUAAACAUUAGAAAAAAGUUACUGAAUAUUUACUGAAUCUUUUCUCUUCCUGUAAUAAAAAUCUCUAGUUAUUAGUCAAUUUUAAUAAUAUGGUAGUUUUAAUUUAAUUAUAUGAACCCAUUAGAACGAUUUACUUUUAAUGUUCAGCUUCCUUAUGGAUCGGUGGAUCUGUCAUUGAUACGAACGAUUGAUAAAAUGAUGAAGAUUGAUGUAUUAAUACUUGAUGAUAGGGUGAUGAUUUAAAAAAAUUGAAUUAACGAUCAACAGAGGAUUAAAAAUUAAUUUUGUACUCGUUUGUUUAUCCUUGAUGGGGUAAUGGAAAUAUUAUUACUAAAAUAUAAUUUUUACGGCGAUAUCUAAAACGUGAUCUAAAAUCGAAAUUAAAAAAACAUCAAUCGGAAACUAAAUUUUUCGUUUGAAUGAGUGAAUGAGUUAAUGUUGGAUUAAUUUAAUUAAAUUCAAAUCGAUUCAUCAGCUAAA